rnacentral:rRNA from 1 species
UGGGGAAUAUUGCACAAUGGGCGCAAGCCUGAUGCAGCCAUGCCGCGUGUGUGAAGAAGGCCUUCGGGUUGUAAAGCACUUUCAGCGGGGAGGAAGGCGGUGAGGUUAAUAACCUCACCGAUUGACGUUACCCGCAGAAGAAGCACCGGCUAACUCCGUGCCAGCAGCCGCGGUAAUACGGAGGGUGCAAGCGGUAAUCGGAAUUACUGGGCGUAAAGCGCACGCAGGCGGUCUGUCAAGUCGGAUGUGAAAUCCCCGGGCUCAACCUGGGAACUGCAUUCGAAACUGGCAGGCUAGAGUCUUGUAGAGGGGGGUAGAAUUCCAGGUGUAGCGGUGAAAUGCGUAGAGAUCUGGAGGAAUACCGGUGGCGAAGGCGGCCCCCUGGACGGAGACCGACGCUCAGGUGCGAAAGCGUGGGGAGCAAACAGG